GACAGAGGGUGCAAACGUUGUUCGGAAUUACUGGGCGUAAAGCGCGUGUAGGCUGCUUCGCAAGUCGGGUGUGAAAGCCCUGGGCUCAACCUAGGAAGUGCACUCGAAACUGCGGAGCUGGAGUCCUGGAGAGGAAGGCGGAAUUCUCGGUGUAGAGGUGGAAUGCGUAGAGAUCCGGAAGAACACCGGUGGCGAAGGCGGCCUGCUGGGCAGUGGCUGACGCUGAGGCGCGACAGCGUGGGGAGCAAACAGG
rnacentral:rRNA from 1 species